UUCGCCCUUAGAGUUUGAUUCUGGCUCAGGACGAACGCUGGCGGCGCGCCUAACACAUGCAAGUCGAACGAGAGAUGAGGAGCUUGCUCUUCAAAUCGAGUGGCGAACGGGUGAGUAACGCGUGAGGAACCUGCCUCAAAGAGGGGGACAACAGUUGGAAACGACUGCUAAUACCGCAUAAGCCCACGGCUCGGCAUCGAGCAGAGGGAAAAGGAGCAAUCCGCUUUGAGAUGGCCUCGCGUCCGAUUAGCUAGUUGGUGAGGUAACGGCCCACCAAGGCGACGAUCGGUAGCCGGACUGAGAGGUUGAACGGCCACAUUAGGACUGAGACACGGCCCAGACUCCUACGGGAGGCAGCAGUGGGGAAUAUUGCACAAUGGGGGAAACCCUGAUGCAGCGACGCCGCGUGGAGGAAGAAGGUCUUCGGAUUGUAAACUCCUGUUGUUGAGGAAGAUAAUGACGGUACUCAACAAGGAAGUGACGGCUAACUACGUGCCAGCAGCCGCGGUAAAACGUAGGUCACAAGCGUUGUCCGGAAUUACUGGGUGUAAAGGGAGCGCAGGCGGGAGAACAAGUUGGAAGUGAAAUCCAUGGGCUCAACCCAUGAACUGCUUUCAAAACUGUUUUUCUUGAGUAGUGCAGAGGUAGGCGGAAUUCCCGGUGUAGCGGUGGAAUGCGUAGAUAUCGGGAGGAACACCAGUGGCGAAGGCGGCCUACUGGGCACCAACUGACGCUGAGGCUCGAAAGUGUGGGUAGCAAACAGGAUUAGAUACCCUGGUAGUCCACACCGUAAACGAUGAUUACUAGGUGUUGGAGGAUUGACCCCUUCAGUGCCGCAGUUAACACAAUAAGUAAUCCACCUGGGGAGUACGACCGCAAGGUUGAAACUCAAAGGAAUUGACGGGGGCCCGCACAAGCAGUGGAGUAUGUGGUUUAAUUCGACGCAACGCGAAGAACCUUACCAAGUCUUGACAUCCCUUGACGAUGCUGGAAACAGUAUUUCUCUUCGGAGCAAGGAGACAGGUGGUGCAUGGUUGUCGUCAGCUCGUGUCGUGAGAUGUUGGGUUAAGUCCCGCAACGAGCGCAACCCUUAUGGUCAGUUACUACGCAAGAGGACUCUGGCCAGACUGCCGUUGACAAAACGGAGGAAGGUGGGGAUGACGUCAAAUCAUCAUGCCCUUUAUGACUUGGGCUACACACGUACUACAAUGGCGUUAAACAAAGAGAAGCACGACCGCGAGGUGGAGCAAAACUCAGAAACAACGUCCCAGUUCGGACUGCAGGCUGCAACUCGCCUGCACGAAGUCGGAAUUGCUAGUAAUCGUGGAUCAGCAUGCCACGGU
rnacentral:rRNA from 1 species